rnacentral:rRNA from 1 species
UACAGAGGGUGCGAGCGUUAAUCGGAAUUACUGGGCGUAAAGCGUGCGUAGACGGUUAUUUAAGUCGGGUGUGAAAGCCCCGGGCUCAACCUGGGAAUUGCAUUCGAGACUGGAUAGCUAGGGUACGGUAGAGGGAAGUGGAAUUUCCGGUGUAGCGGUGAAAUGCGUAGAUAUCGGAAGGAACAUCAGUGGCGAAAGCGACUUCCUGGACCAGUACCGACGUUCAGGCACGAAAGCGUGGGGAGCAAACAGG